rnacentral:rRNA from 1 species
UCCAAUCGAACUCGGAGAUAGCUGGUUCUCCCCGAAAUAGCUUUAGGGCUAGCGUCGGAUAUGUGUAGUGGAGGUAGAGCACUGAAUGGGCUAGGGGGCAUAGCGCUUACCGAACCUUAUCAAACUCCGAAUGCCACAUACAUUAAGUCCGGCAGUCAGACUACGAAUGAUAAGAUCCGUGGUCAAAAGGGAAACAGCCCAGAUCGUCAGCUAAGGUCCCAAAGUGUAAGUUAAGUGGAAAAGGAUGUGGGAUUUCUAAGACAACUAGGAUGUUGGCUUAGAAGCAGCCACUCAUUUAAAGAGUGCGUAAUAGCUCACUAGUCGAGAGAUCCUGCGCCGAAAAUGUCCGGGGCUCAAACUUACCACCGAAGCUACGGGCUUGCAUUAGCAAGCGGUAGGGGAGCGUCGUAAUCGGGCUGAAGUCGUACCGUAAGGAGCGGUGGACUGAUUACGAGUGAGAAUGUUGGCAUUAGUAGCGAGAUGUAGGUGAGAAUCCUACAGGCCGAAUAUCUAAGGUUUCCUCAGGAAGGCUCGUCCGCUGAGGGUUAGUCGGGACCUAAGCCGAGGCCGAAAGGCGUAGGCGAUGGACAAUCGGUUGAUAUUCCGAUACCACUACCAUCGUUAUUAUCGAGGGUGUGACGGAGAAGGAUAGUGUGUGCUAGCGAUUGGAAAUGCUAGUCUAAGCGUUUAGGGAGUUACGGUAGGCAAAUCCGCUGUAACAAUUCUGAGGCGUGAUGGGGAAGGCCAUAUAGGCCGAAGUACAUGAUUCCAUGCUUCCAAGAAAAGCAUCUAGAGAGAGAAGUAGUGCCCGUACCGCAAACCGACACAGGUAGAUGAGGAGAGAAUCCUAAGGCCGGCGGAAGAAUUGCAGUUAAGGAACUAGGCAAAUUGACCCCGUAAGUUCGCGAGAAGGGGUGCCUGCGAGAGCAGGCCGCAGAGAAUAGGCCCAAGCAACUGUUUAGCAAAAACACAGGUCUCUGCUAAAGCGCAAGCUGAUGUAUAGGGGCUGACGCCUGCCCGGUGCUGGAAGGUUAAGGGGAACACUUAGCGCAAGCGAAGGUGUGAACUUAAGCCCCAGUAAACGGCGGCCGUAACUAUAACGGUCCUAAGGUAGCGAAAUUCCUUGUCAGGUAAGUUCUGACCCGCACGAAUGGCGUAAUGACUUGGGCACUGUCUCAACUGCAAAUCCGGCGAAGUUGUAGUGCGAGUGAAGAUGCUCGCUACCCGCGAUUGGACGGAAAGACCCCGUAGAGCUUUACUGCAGCUUAGCAUUGAAUUCCGGUAUUGUCUGUACAGGAUAGGUGGGAGACUGGGAAACUAGGGCGUCAGCCUUAGUGGAGUCAACCUUGGGAUACCACCCUGACAGUACUGGGGUUCUAACAGGACGCCAUGAAUCUGGUGACUGGACAUUGUUAGGUGGGCAGUUUGACUGGGGCGGUCGCCUCCUAAAAAGUAACGGAGGCGCCCAAAGGUUCCCUCAGAACGGUCGGAAAUCGUUCGUAGAGUGCAAAGGCAUAAGGGAGCCUGACUGCGAGACCUACAAGUCGAGCAGGGACGAAAGUCGGGCUUAGUGAUCCGGUGGUACCUCGUGGGAGGGCCAUCGCUCAACGGAUAAAAGCUACCUCGGGGAUAACAGGCUGAUCUCCCCCAAGAGUCCACAU